CGACAUCAGAAGAUUCCUACAAUCGAGAAGAAGCGUCUGGACAUUAUUCCUCUUCUCCACUAAGGUUCUUCCCAGUUGCUCAUCGAACAUAAUGAGGUUCCUUCAAGUAAGCCUCGUGGCUCUGCUUUCCCUUGUCCUACUGGAAGAAGAUGUUGCUGGAGGUGCAAUCACAGCUCGCCUCAAACAUCAAUCUGGCGCUGGGGAGCCGUUACUAAGGCCAAGCUCCGACCCGCCACCCCUACCAGGACCUGAACCUGAUCAAAUAUCAAUCGUUCCCGAAGCGGCCUUCAAUGAAGGGUCCCACGGCUGCAUAGGCGUUUGUCAGCUUAGGGACAACUUCGACUCCUGCCUGCCAGAUUCAAAGUGUUGUGAGGAGAAGUUCAAAGAUAGCGAGUACUUGGACUGCGUGAGAGGCAACAAAUAAUGCAAAGCAAUCCAUUUGCUGUUGUCUCUGGUUCUGUUCAAGAGAGAUCAGCUGGUAGUGUUGUACCUUACUUUCUUACUUAAUCUGUCACUUUUUGUUAGGGUUGGCCAAUAUGACCAACUACCAUUGCACUAUAGGCUACUAAGGUACCAUGUUGCCUUCUCGUGACUUCCUUUUUGACACAUGACAAGACUAAGGCCACUUUCAACUUCCCUCUCUCAUCCAGAAUUGGUAAUGUUUAAGUGUGUAGUCUAUACUUUUUUUUUUUAUCUGUCCAUCCGUCUGUGGUGGUUGCGCAUGGUAACACUGCGUCCCGGUCUUUAAAUAGUUACGAUAUGUCUAAGUUUUAGUAAUAAAAGGAUACCUGGGUGUACAUUUGCAACUGAAAAGUGUUUUAAUAAUUUACUGUAUGCGAAUUACACCGGUAACAUUCGAAAUACAAUAUUAUUUAAAGCCCGGGACGCAGUGUUACCAUGUGCAAACACCACAGGCGGAUGGACAAAUGGAAAAAACAGUAUACAUACUAAGGCAAAAUCCUACAACAUCGUACACAAAGGUUAAUGCUGGGAAGGUGAUUUAGUCUCUUAUAAAGAAAACCCCAGUUUCAAAUAUAGAGUCAUAAUAACUGGCAACCCAUCAUAACCUUUGAUUUCUGUUAACAUUGUAACACACCCAACAUACCUUUGCGCUUUCUCAUUUUAAUACUUGUGAAAUUCUUCCAAUAAAUUGUAUACUUUAAACCAUGGUUUGCUUGGUCAGUGAAAUCGAGUUUGGAUUCACUUUUGUGUUCUUAUAAAAUGUAUUUUCAUCUCUUACAUUUUAACUAAAGGCUUAGUCCUAUGAUAAAAAAAGUCACACUGUUUUCAUGAUAAAGAAUUUUUCAUUUUAUUUUUUAAUGCAUAAAAGCUAUUUUCUGUUGUAUUUUCACCUGCAUAACAUUUUAACAUUACAUCGUUAAAAUGUCACGGUUGUUAGGUGAAAUAAUUUCACAAAACAUAAAAUGUUUUUUUCUGAGCGUUGGAGUUUCCUCGUAAAUUGUGUUCUACAUAAGCGUAACAUUACUUCCUUCAUAUAUUUUAGUCUGUUUGAUUUAGAAUGCAAUAAAUGUGAGUGUUAAGUAAC